rnacentral:rRNA from 1 species
AUGCCUGAACGGGAGCUUACGAUCUUGGGUAUUCCAAAUGUCAGUGAAUUAGUUGCAAUUUCAACUUGGUAUUUAUGGUGGGAGAGGCGAAAACUGGUCCAUAAAGAGAAAACCCAAGACGCUAACCAGAUCUCCAUGGGAAUUCGUGCUAUUACGUUAAACUAUGUUUUGGCUAUAUCAUCAAAGGCUACGAUGAAAAGAGGAGGUUGGGUCCAACCUCCAAGGGGGUUUGUAAAACUUAAUGUGGAUGCCUCUUUUGAUCAUGACCGGCUCAGGGGCACGGCUGGUGCUGUUUUGAAAGAUGAUAAAGGAAAAUUCAUUGCAGGGGGAAUUGGAGAAUUGAUUGGUGCACGGAUGUUCUGA